rnacentral:rRNA from 1 species
AUUGAACGCUGGCGGCAUGCUUUACACAUGCAAGUCGAACGGCAGCGCGGGCUUCGGCCUGGCGGCGAGUGGCGAACGGGUGAGUAAUGCAUCGGAACGUGCUCAGUAGUGGGGGAUAGCCCGGCGAAAGCCGGAUUGAUACCGCAUACGAUCUGAGGGUGAAAGCGGGGGAGCGACAGGCCUCGCGCGAUUGGAGCGGCCGAUGUGGGUUUAGGUAGUUGGUGGGGUAAGGGGUUAGCGAGGCGACGGUCCGUAGCUGGUCUGAGGGGGCGACCAGCCACACUGGCACUGAGACACGGCCCAGACUCCUACGGGAGGCAGCAGUGGGGAAUUUUGGACAAUGGGGGCAACCCUGAUCCAGCCAUGCCGCGUGCGGGAAGAAGGCCUUCGGGUUGUAAACCGCUUUUGUUCGGGAAGAAAUCCUCUGGGCUUAGACCCCGGGGUGAUGACGGUACCGGAAGAAUAAGCACCGGCUAACUACGUG